UAUUCAAAGCAAGAUCCUACAGAGGAAGACCAGAGCCUGUUAAUCUGUGCAAUGCAGUCUGUACACACUGCUGCCUGAGUCUCAGGUUGUGGUUGGUGGAUGGGACUUUCAACAGCUAAUGUGGGUACUCAGGGGACUCUUUUGAUGAGCUCAGGAUCAAAAGGUCCUGAAUGAGUCAGGUUUCUGGGAAACGGACCUGUGGAUUAAUGGCCUCUAACUGUGCUUUGGCAUGUUAG
rnacentral:lncRNA from 1 species